rnacentral:rRNA from 1 species
AUUGAACGCUGGCGGCAUGCCUUACACAUGCAAGUCGAACGGUAACAGGUCUUCGGAUGCUGACGAGUGGCGAACGGGUGAGUAAUACAUCGGAACGUGCCCGAUCGUGGGGGAUAACGAGGCGAAAGCUUUGCUAAUACCGCAUACGAUCUACGGCUGAAAGCGGGGGAUCUUCGGACCUCGCGCGGACGGAGCGGCCGAUGGCAGAUUAGGUAGUUGGUGGGAUAAAAGCUUACCAAGCCGACGAUCUGUAGCUGGUCUGAGAGGAUGAUCAGCCACACUGGGACUGAGACACGGCCCAGACUCCUACGGGAGGCAGCAGUGGGGAAUUUUGGACAAUGGGCGAAAGCCUGAUCCAGCCAUGCCGCGUGCAGGAUGAAGGCCUUUGGGUUGUAAACUGCUUUUGUACGGAACGAAAAGCCUCUUUCUAAUAAAGAGGGGUCAUGACGGUACCGUAAGAAUAAGCACCGGCUAACUACGUG